rnacentral:rRNA from 1 species
CCCUUAGAUGUUCUGGGCCGCACGCGUGCUACACUGAGUGGAUCAGCGGGUCAGGUUGCGCGAAAGCGUUUCCUAAUCUUUAAAUCCGCUCGUGAUGGGGAUUGACGGUUGCAAUUUUCUGUCAUGAACGAGGAAUACCUUGUAAGCGCGGGUCAUCAUCCCGCGCUGAAUACGUCCCUGCCCUUUGUACACACCGCCCGUCGCUCCUACCGAUUGAAUGGUCCGGUGAGGCUUUGGGAUCUGAGCGGAAAGAGCGUUUCGCUGUUUCUGCUCGGAAAACUCAGUCGAACCUUAUCAUUUAGAGGAAGGAGAAGUCGUAACA